rnacentral:rRNA from 1 species
GACGAACGCUGGCGGCGUGCUUAACACAUGCAAGUCGAACGGAAAGGCCCUGCUUUUGUGGGGUGCUCGAGUGGCGAACGGGUGAGUAACACGUGAGUAACCUGCCCUUGACUUUGGGAUAACUUCAGGAAACUGGGGCUAAUACCGGAUAGGAGCUCCUGCUGCAUGGUGGGGGUUGGAAAGUUUCGGCGGUUGGGGAUGGACUCGCGGCUUAUCAGCUUGUUGGUGGGGUAGUGGCUUACCAAGGCUUUGACGGGUAGCCGGCCUGAGAGGGUGACCGGGCAGGGUGGCGAGGAGGAGAGCGGCAGAGAGGCGGGGGGGGGGAGGAGUGGGAAAGACAGAAAGGUGGGGGGAAGCAGGAGGCAGGCCGGCCGGGGGGGGGAGGACGGCGUGCGGGUGGUAAGCAGCGUGCGCGGGUGAGGAAGGGGGAGGGAAGGUAAGGAGAAAAGAAGCACCGGUUAACGAGGGGCAAGAAGCAGCGGUAAUAAGCGGAAGAGCAAACGGAUGAAC